GGUGAGCGCACUUGGGCUGCUCCUUUUAAUCCCCCAGGGUGGAAACGCAGCAAGGGUAUGAAGUUGAGCGUUCGUGGUGUGUCUCACCUUAU
rnacentral:SRP_RNA from 1 species